CCUCUGCCUUUCCCCGGGCGCCGAUCGCCGCCCUCCCGCCCCGGGUGGGGCCGCGGGCGGCAGCGUCCCCGGGCUCUCGGCCGCUGCCCGGGAGCCAAAGGGUCAGAUUUAGUUUCACAACAAAGUCUCCUGGUCACUGCAACCCGACUGGAGGCCGAAGCGGCCGGGCAGCCAGGGCAGGGGCCGGAGCGCCGCCACCGGGGCCGAAGGUGGGAAGAGAGCGCGCGAGGGGACGGUGGCCGGCGACAGGGUCCCGGCGGCUGGACUUACUCGUGUCACAACUGCGGCGACGAGGGGCUGAGGAACCGGUUCUUCCAAAAACAAACCGAAAAUGGGAGGAUGAAGAUCCCACCCACUAGCUGAGAUCCAGAUUUACUUCAGAGCAUCAGUGGGAGAAGACCGGACCACAUGGGAACAGCCAAGAGUCAAGCCAACUCUUCAGCUGCACUUAUCCAAUAAAAGUGGAAGAGGGAAGCUAAUGGCCUGAAUAGUGACGUGCCUACGGACAUAAAUGUACAAGCAGCUCGCCGGAGGGAGUUUUUCGGAAGAACCUCAAACAGAGAUGCCGUUCCCCGAGCUGUUUCUAAAUAGACGUAGAUUAUUUCCCCAAAGAUGAUGAACCGUUCUUUUGUCCAAAUCCAAGAUGCAAUAAUGCAUAGGCUCCCUAAAACGCAACAUUCAAAUUUCAUUUAUUUAGAGAUGUCUGAAGCCUUCAAGAAUUAGAGAAGUAAAGAUGAAAAAAGACAUCUUUUUAUGAUCUGUUUUGGGUAGCUGAACAGGUAGGCAGAUACGCGAAACAGAAGUUUACUGCUGGAAGUUGUUUUGCUUCAGAAUGUACCUUCUAUUUGCUAAAAGUUUAUAUUAUCGUAAAGGAAAUCAAAAGACAAAACUGUCAAUGUGGAUGCAUCAUUUGACAAGUAAAAUUGAACAUAAAUUUUCUUUGGAAAGGGAAGAUAAAUCAGAGUGCUACCACUGAUAUCUCAGUCAAGUCAUGGUUUAAGAAAAAAUAUUCCCUCCAUAAGAACGUUCGGUUUUGUUUUUUUCUUUUCUAACAUGUCUUGAGUUAAACAAAACAUGUUAACAAGAUUGUAACGAAAACUCCGCAUGAUGUAAACAUCCAAAGAAAGAAAUUCUAGAUUGAUUAUCUUCUGGGACCGCAAAGAUUUUAUUACUAGAUAUCACUGAAGUCGUGGAACCAGAGGCCGAAAGCCUUAGUACUCUAACUGGGUGGUGAGGGGGUUUUAGAGGACUAUUUCCCAAUUAAAAAAAAAAAAAACUUCAUAAAAUGUAAAUGCAAUAAGUCGAGCAGAAUUUUAUUUUUCCAAGAUUAAAAUAUGUUAUUUAGUUGGUUUGGAAGGGCAUUGCCAAUUCAUGAAUGUAUCGGAAUAAAACACAAGAGCAAGUGCCAAAUACCUGUGGUUUAUGUAAACUACAUAAAAUCACGGGGUUUUUAUAUUUAGAUGGAUAAUAGACGGAUAUAAAAUGAUAGAUAAAAAUCAGUUGUUAUGGCUUGUCGUGGAUUUCCAUGUGCUUAUUAAUUUUCUUAAGUUUCCAAAUUUUUUCAUUUACGAACACUUGUCCAAUAUAAGCUUCUGAAACUGCAGCAGGCGUCAUUUCCUUACUUCACUUCUCAGAAGUACAUGGGAAAAGACAGUCAGAGAUGCUUCUAAGUGAAGCGCGUCCUUGCUGCUUGACCUCAGGAAACAAUGAGAAGUGUUUGGCUAUCUCCGCCAGGAUGCUGGGUGUGAGGGGUGGAGGCGAGGGGACUUCAACUGCCGUCCCC